UACGUAGGGGGCAAGCGUUGUCCGGAAUUAUUGGGCGUAAAGCGCGCGCAGGCGGUUCUUUAAGUCUGGUGUCUAAGUGCGGGGCUCAACCCCGUGAUGCACUGGAAACUGGAGAACUUGAGUGCAGAAGAGGAGAGCGGAAUUCCACGUGUAGCGGUGAAAUGCGUAGAGAUGUGGAGGAACACCAGUGGCGAAGGCGGCUCACUGGCCCGAUACUGACGCUGAGGCACGAAAGCGUGGGGAGCAAACAGG
rnacentral:rRNA from 1 species